CAUUAAGAGUGUCUCAUGCAAGCCGUGCAGGCUAAGCAUGCUCAGUGUAAAUUCUCCUGGAGUCUGUCAAGCUAUGUUUGAACUCGUUCCAGGAUGCUGGAUUUACUUUUUUUUUUUCCACCAGGAAGAAUGCUCGAUUAGACAGCAUUUUGCCUUGCUUUUCUUCUCUCUCUCUCUUUCUUCCUGACUUCUUUCCACCAGAAGAUUGGAAACAAUAUUCUUUUCUGAUCAAUUCAGUAAUACAGUGCCCUUCAGUGUUCAGAUGGGCAUUUCAGUGGAGAAGAAAAGAAACUUUGCUACCUGGGAACCGAAGACUACUUAGUGGAGAUGCCUGCGUUCCACAUCCGAUGGUCUCAUCUUUCCAAGGCAAUGGCCCCCCAGGAAAUCUUCACCACGGAAGAGGAGCCCAGACUCCGAGGAUCUCCUGGAUAAAUCACAAUUGAUGCCUCCCUUCCCAGCUGGAUCACCUUGCUUCCUUCAAGAAAAAAGGGGUGGAAAGAGCCCACAGGAACUGAAAAGCAUUUUAAACUAAAGAGGCAAAGUAACAAAGAGCUUGAAGACAAGCACAGUUCUCAGGCCCUGGAUAGAGGCUGGCAGCGUCAGACCGACAGAACCAAGACAUCGGAGGGCCAACGCUUGUGGCUGCAGAGCACAGGAUAUGAAUCAGAGAGAAAGAAGCGAAGUCUUGUCCCAGGAAGAACGGGAAGGACUGGCAGAGGAGUGUUCACUGACUUGUCUUUGGAAAAAAUUGAGAAGAGCCGGUAGACUUGGUUUCCACACUCCUGCUCCUUAGAUGCGGGUGAAUGAUUGGAAGACAUUGACUUAGCAAGAUGGAAGCAGGUUUAAAAAUAAAAUUCAUAAGAAGUUAUCUUUUCCAGUUUUGUCGAUGUUCCUUUCAGCUGAUCCUAUAGCCCCCCUCCUCAGGAAUGUCUCCCCAGUGAAAGGACAAAGACUGCAGAGACUGCUAUAUUGAUGGAACCUCACGUCAACUGUGAAGUUGAGACAAAGAAAAUGUCCACCUGAAGACAUCUCUCCUGUCCAGCAGUACACCCAAAUGUGCAGUUUCGGCCAAUAGAACCCUCAGAAUAAGAGCAAUCUUUCCAAGAAACAGAAAAACCCAGUACUGACAUCUAGAUCUCUGAUGAGCCAAGAACUUUCCCUUCCUUGUGUGUAUUCCUCUGUUUGUAUUUUAAUUCAUGUGACAUUCAUUUUUUUUCCUACUAUGGACAUAAUUGUUAAUGCACUAGUACUAGAAUCUGAAUGGGCACAAAUGUGCUAAUGUCCUAAAGAACAAAAUCAAUACAAUAAGGAGAAUGAUGUUUAGCCACAAGUAGUUUCUUCUUCAGAGCAACCAGAAAAUUGAAAAGUACCUUAGAAAUAGCAAGGCAGGCAUGGGCAAGUUGAAGGAUCAAAUAACAGAAAAGAUUCAUAGGGCAGCAUAGAAAUACCACACUGUUUCACCUGACACCAACCCACCAACCAUUAUUUUUAGGACAAAAGCUCUGUUCUAUGAGAUCUGGUCCCUGCUUGUAAGAAGCUUCAAUCUAGUUAGGCAAAGUUACAUAAACUUUUGAAGAGAGGAGAAACAGGUUGGGUCAGAGGAUGAUAAGAGCCAAAGUAGAACAAAAGAUGUAGAUAAUGAGCUCAAAGAAGAUUACCACGAGAUGAGUGGACCGACCUUUUGGGGAAGAAAACUCCCCAAAGAGGAAAAUGUGAGAUGAAUUUUGAAGGACUCAAAAAUUUAGAAAAAUUGAAAGUUAGGAGAAAACAGAGACCUGUAGUUUGACAUGACACUAUGAGCAAAGCCGAGAAAGAGGAAAUUCGGAUAUAUGGUGUAGUUAGGAGAUGAUGACUUCACCCCAGACAUUCAGCACUUGUCCCUGUGUAUUUGAUAAAGUGUGUACACACACCUCCCCUCUCCAACCUCAGGCAUCACCUAGAAUUAUAAUUGAAUUUCUUUUCUGUUAAAGCAAGUGAGGGUAAUUGGUGAUAAUAUGGAGAAUUCAUGAUUUUUCUGUUAAUAACAAUUGGUAUUUACUAAGUUCUCACUGUAUGUUAAGCAUUUUCCAUAUAAACUCAAACAACUAUGCAAAUUAGAUACUGUUAUCCCCAUUUUACAGGCAACAAAACAGGUUAAAUGAGGUGAUAGAACUUGCCAAGGUGUUAGGUAAGGAGGCUCACAAUCAGAAUUCUGAUUGCAAAGCUCAUGAUCUCAAGCACGAAGUCACAAUAUUGUGAUCAAUGUCAACAGGAUCACCAUUUUUUAAUAUUACUUGAUAGUUGUCUAUCAACAAAUAGUUGUGGGUUUUUUAAGUUAGCACUUCAACUUUUUCAGCUUUAGGAUUUUUAGUAAUCAUAAAACACAUUCUAUCACUCUAGUUACACUAGAGUUACAGUAGAGUUACAUUAGAGUAAUAGAAUGUUGUACAAAAUUGGGAGAGUAGACCUUGAAGAAUUUUAGACAUUUCUCUUUUUUUCCUCUUUUCUUUCUUUUUUUGGGGGGGGCAAAUUUUGAUGAGAUUUUCUACUUUGUUCUGUAAGAAAUCACAAAUAUUUUUUAAAAAGAGGAGGGGCUUAAUCACUUAUCACAGUAUCUUUUUUUUAUAGGCAAGAUAAAUCUAAAGUUUAGAGUGACUUACAGAAGGUCACAUAGUGAGUGUGGCAGAGCAAGGAACAGAAACCAGGCCCUCCAGUCCACUCUCAAUGCUCUUGAACUACUACUCCAUCCUACCUAAAUGAAGCACAACCUUGAAUUUGAUUAAAGGAAACUCUAUCUAGGUAAUCAGGGAGCAUUGAACUUAGUAGGCUGCUUCAAUUCUGCACCUCUUUGGCAUCCCUCAGUGUGAAAUGUAGCUAGCUCUGCAUAUAACAUUAGACCCAUAAAUGGCCAACAUCCAUUCCCAAAGAACACACAGUGGCCAAAAUUUGUACAAUAUCUUCAAUGAUAUCCUCAAGUUAUUUGGAAUGCUCAGUUCACCUGCAAAGAUCAAAUCUUCUGAUAACCAUCUUCUUUACCAAUUUUAGGCACAGUAUACAUUAGUAAGUACUUUUGCAUGAAUGUUUAUACAUGACUAUUUCAAUAGUACUUACGUUUUUUAAAAUAUCUAGUCACUUGUUAUUAUAAUUCUCACUCAUUCAUGAAACUACCUCAAGAAUACCUUGACCAAAAAAAGCUAGAACUGAGGAGUAUCUCUUCUUUACCAGCUCCUUUGCAUUCAGUUGGCAUCUAGGAAUGCUUACUGAAGUGAUCCUCUGGAUAACAUAGAGGUUUGAACUGCAAAUGUGCCUUGAAGGAGUCAGUUAAGCUGGAUCUACUGAGGAGCAGAAGUCUGAAUGUUUGGAAGUGCCUCAAUAUUUACCUGUGGUAAAUUUUCACUUAGGUAUCUGUCCUGUCACAUUGCAUUCUUCUCAUGGCUCUGGUCAUUCUGUUUUCAAAAUGAUGACUGUUGGCCAUAUCUUACACUGAGAGGUCAUAAAUAAACAGGGUUUUUAAUAAAAGGGGAGCCAAGCACAAGGCAUGAGUUUGUUGACAUUUUAUGAGAUUCUGUCCUAUGUCCCUAAUUCCCAAUAAAAUAAAUAUUGCAUCAA